rnacentral:rRNA from 1 species
CGGAUUAAGAGCUUGCUCUUAUGAAGUUAGCGGCGGACGGGUGAGUAACACGUGGGUAACCUGCCCAUAAGACUGGGAUAACUCCGGGAAACCGGGGCUAAUACCGGAUAACAUUUUGAACCGCAUGGUUCGAAAUUGAAAGGCGGCUUCGGCUGUCACUUAUGGAUGGACCCGCGUCGCAUUAGCUAGUUGGUGAGGUAACGGCUCACCAAGGCAACGAUGCGUAGCCGACCUGAGAGGGUGAUCGGCCACACUGGGACUGAGACACGGCCCAGACUCCUACGGGAGGCAGCAGUAGGGAAUCUUCCGCAAUGGACGAAAGUCUGACGGAGCANCGCCGCGUGAGUGAUGAAGGCUUUCGGGUCGUAAAACUCUGUUGUUAGGGAAGAACAAGUGCUAGUUGAAUAAGCUGGCANCUUGACGGUACCUAACCAGAAAGCCACGGCUAACUACGUGCCAGCAGCCGCGGUAAUACGUAUGUGGCAAGCGUUAUCCGGAAUUAUUGGGCGUAAAGCGCGCGCAGGUGGCUUCUUAAGUCUGAUGUGAAAGCCCACGGCUCACCGUGGAGGGUCU